rnacentral:rRNA from 1 species
AUUGAACGCUGGCGGCAUGCCUUACACAUGCAGGUCGAACGGCAGCACGGGCUUCGGUCUGGUGGCGAGUGGCGAACGGGUGAGUAAUGUAUCGGGACGUACCUUUCAGUGGGGGAUAACGUAGCGAAAGUUACGCUAAUACCGCAUAUUCUGUGAGCAGGAAAGCAGGGGAUCGCAAGACCUUGCGCUGAUUGAGCGGCCGAUAUCAGAUUAGCUAGUUGGUGAGGUAAAGGCUCACCAAGGCGACGAUCUGUAGCGGGUCUGAGAGGAUGAUCCGCCACACUGGAACUGGGACACGGGCCAGACUCCUACGGGAGGCAGCAGUGGGGAAUUUUGGACAAUGGGGGCAACCCUGAUCCAGCCAUGCCGCGUGAGUGAAGAAGGCCUUCGGGUUGUAAAGCUCUUUCGGCCGGGAAGAAAUCGUAUGGGUUAAUACCCUGUGCGGAUGACGGUACCGGCAUAAGAAGCACCGGCUAACUACGUGCCAGCCGCCGCCGUAAAAC